rnacentral:rRNA from 1 species
GGGAUUCCGAUAGUUUACUUUGAGAAAAAUGGAGUGUUCAAAGCAGGCGGAUUCAAAUCGCUCGAUGAACAACUUAGCAUGGGAUAAUGGAAGAGGACAUUGGUUCCUUUCUUUCAAGGCGUGUUCGCAAGCAAUAAUGGUGCGGGUCCGAUGUAAUGAUUAAUAGGAACAGUUGGGGCGAUUCAUAUUCCGUGGCUAGAGGUGAAAUUCUUGGAUUCGCGGAAGAUGCGCGGCUGCGAAAGCGUCUGGCCAGGAUGUUUUCGUUGAUCAAGAACGAAAGUCAGGGGAGCAAAGAUGAUUAGAAACCGUUGUAGUCCUAGACCGUAAACGAUGCCGACUCGGGAUUGGAGGGCGCUGAAUCAAGAGGGGGUCGGGGUUCAUCCCUCGGCUUAUACUUUGUAUGGCCCCUCCAGCAGCCGCUCUUCAUUUAAAGGGAAACCAAAGUUCAUGGGUUCCGGGGGGAGUAUGGUCGCAAGGCUGAAACUUAAAGGAAUAGACGGAAGGGCACCACAACAGGCGUGGAGCAUGCGGCCCAACGCGACUCAACCCGGCGAAGCUCACCAGGCCCAGACAUGGCGAGGAUUGACAGAUUGAGAGCUCUUUCUUGAUUCCAUGAAAGGUGGCGCAUGGCCGUUCGUAGUUGGUGGAGUGAUUUGUCUGGUUGAUUCCGAUAACGAACGAGACCUUGGCGGGGAUGGCUGGGGGAGCGAAUGGUUUUCCUAUCAUUCUGCUUAAUUCAAACCCCUCCUGCCCGGACGUUCUGUGUUGCAGCAGACGGAAGUGCGAGGCAAUAACAGGUCUGUGAUGCCCUUAGAUGUCCUGGGCUGCACGCGUGCUACA